UUUGCUUACAGGUGCAAAAAGAAUACUCAGAUUUGUCUGUGAUUAUCUUUAGGGUGGGUCUCCAUCACUGGAAAACGUUGACAGUUUCUUUCCAUGAUUCUGCACGUGAUCUUCAUUCAUUUUCUCCAAAGCUUCAAUCUAGAGAGCCAAAAAUAAAACCAUGCUGAAAUCAUAAAACCAUGCCAGCAGCAGAAGGCUUCUAAACAGCAUUAAAAAGCAGCUUUUGAGGCCAGAGCAGGCAUGAAAAACAACAGAUUCUUUUCCCGUGCUGAUGCAGCCUGUGAUGGUCUCCAGCAUCCCAGAAUUGACCAUCUUGUACAGAAGUAAACGUGUUUUAGGAUCCACUGCUUUCUCCUACAAGAGAUGAAUAAGAUU